rnacentral:rRNA from 1 species
UACGUAGGGGGCAAGCGUUGUCCGGAAUCAUUGGGCGUAAAGAGCGUGUAGGCGGUCCGGUCAGUCGGUUGUGAAAGUCAAGGGCUCAACCCUUGAAUGCCGGCCGAUACUGCCGGGCUAGAGUCCGGAAGAGGUGAGUGGAAUUCCUGGUGUAGCGGUGAAAUGCGCAGAUAUCAGGAAGAACACCGACGGCGAAGGCAGCUCGCUGGGACGGUACUGACGCUGAGGCGCGAAAGCGUGGGGAGCGAACAGG